rnacentral:rRNA from 1 species
AUACGUAGGGGGCGAGCGUUGUCCGGAAUGAUUGGGCGUAAAGGGCGCGUAGGCGGCCCGGUAAGUCUGGAGUGAAAGUCCUGUUUUUAAGAUGGGAAUUGCUUUGGAUACUGUCGGGCUUGAGUGCAGGAGAGGUAAGUGGAAUUCCCAGUGUAGCGGUGAAAUGCGUAGAGAUUGGGAGGAACACCAGUGGCGAAGGCGACUUACUGGACUGUAACUGACGCUGAGGCGCGAAAGUGUGGGGAGCAAACAGGAUUAGAUACCCUGGUAGUCCACACUGUAAACGAUGAAUGCUAGGUGUAAGAGGUAUCGACCCCUUUUGUGCCGGAGUCAACACAAUAAGCAUUCCGCCUGGGGAGUACGGCCGCAAGGUUGGAACUCAAAUGAAUUGGCGGG